rnacentral:rRNA from 1 species
GUGGGGAAUAUUGGGCAUUGGUCGGAAGACUGACCCAGCCAUGCCGCGUGCAGGAAGACGGCCCUCUGGGUUGUAAACUGCUUUUAUCUGGGAAGAAAAAGGCCAUGCGUGGCAAAUUGCCGGUACCAGAUGAAUAAGCACCGGCUAACUCCGUGCCAGCAGCCGCGGUAAUACGGAGGGUGCGAGCGUUGUCCGGAUUUAUUGGGUUUAAAGGGUGCGUAGGCGGCUGAUUAAGUCAGCGGUGAAAGACUUCGGCUUAACCGGAGCAGUGCCGUUGAUACUGGUUGGCUUGAGUGUCGGAGGGGUACAUGGAAUUGAUGGUGUAGCGGUGAAAAGCAUAGAUACCAUCAGGAACACCGAUAGCGAAGGCAUUGUACUGGCCGACAACUGACGCUGAUGCACGAAAGUGUGGGGAUCGAACAGGAUUAGAAACCCGUGUAGUCC